CAUAUGUGAAUUUAGUUUUUGAUGGUAAAAGAGUGCAUUAAAAGUCUUGACAUUUUGCUGUUUUCUUGCUCUUGCUGUGAAGUACUGGUCUCUGCUACAAGUGAGUUUCUAAUUGAACCUUGUCUUGGCAACAGUUCCCACAGGUCAGUGAGGACUUUUAGCAAGUUUGUGCUUUUUGGGGUGAUCUGUCAUGUAGUACAGACUUCAAAGUCAGACUACUUGGGUUCAGAAUCCUUUGCCAAAUAAAUAGAGGUAAUUGGAAUAUUUGGCUCAUUAGGCUUUCAGUAGUAACACAAACCAUGUAGGACAGUUGUAAUCUUGUACAAACAUUAAUUCAUAUCUUUUUCAGUUACUGUCACUGACCUCAGGGACUUGCCAGUAUCUAAUGUCAUUGUUUUAUUGAUCAUUUCUAUCAUCAUUAUUAGAGACUGUGUAGACUUGGAGUGUGACUUUUUUUUUUCUUCUUUCUUUAAAGCAUUUUUUUUUUAAAAUGCUUAUUUAGCAGGAACUCCUGUAAUGCUAACACUCUAGUGGCUGUGGAC